rnacentral:lncRNA from 1 species
AAUUUUCAUAUCAUAUAUUCCCAGCUGUAGCAAUAACUUAUCAUCUCGAUGAGGCUCUGCUCGUGCUAUUUCAUCUGCUUUAGUUUCAUCAGGAUCAGGUUCUUUAUGACCUUGGUUGAAACAGGCUUGAUCUACCAAGGUUUCAGUUGUUAUGUGAUGUCCAGGAUCAUGUCUUGCCAUGCUUGGGCAUCCCAAAAUGUUCGAUUGUGCUUCUCCAUCAUCAGGAUCUGGUUCAUCUAUGGUCUCUCUUGUCAGAAUCUUGGUGUCCAGAAUCUCCAUCACCACAGGUUCAACUACAUUUCCAAAACUUGAAGCACCUGAAUCAUCAGGAUCAGGCUCUUCACUUGAACAUAUGGCUGCUGAUUUCCCAAGAGUCUUCUGAGAAUCAUUUUUAGUAGAUGCAGACUGAUGUUUCAGUAGCAGAGUUUCACCAUGCAGCAAAUCAUCUGGAUCAGGUUCAAACUUGUUAUGAUUGCUAGAAAGGUCAUCAGGAUAUGGUUCAUAAGCAAGUUUCCUCAAAGACCUAAUUGGACUUUGAAUAUCUAGAUUUUCAUUUCCAUUGUGAAUAGUCAAACCAGAGUCUUGGAUUCUCUGUAAUUCUUGAUCAUCCGGAUCGGGCUCAUCAAUUUUCAUAUCAUAUAUUCCCAGCUGUGGCAAUAACUUAUCAUCUCGAUGAGGAUCUGCUUGUGCUAUUUCAUCUGCUUUAGUUUCAUCAGGAUCAGGUUCUUUAUGGCCUUGAUUGAAAUGGGCUUGAUCUACCAAGGUUUCAGUUGUUAUGUGAUGACGAGGAUCAUGUCUUGCCAAGCUUGUGCAUCCCAAAAUGUUCGAUUGUGCUUCUCCAUCAUCAGG